AUAAUGAAUAAUUAUACACCUAAGCCAUAAAAUAAGUGAUACCUGAAAUUCUACAAAGAUGGGCUAUAUUCUUUAUUUUUCAGUGUGCUCUUUUAAAAAAAAGUACAGCCAGUUAUCAUUGUCAGUUAUUAAUGACUAACACUAAACGUACACACAUUUGAAAACAAAAUGUUUUAAUAAAUUUUUAUUUCAGAACAAUGUAAGAUUUACACAAAAUUUGAAGAGAAUAGUAUAGAGACUUCCCAGAGCCCCCUCUUAUUAACAUCGUAAAUCAGUGUGGUACAUUUGUCACAAUUAGUGAACAAAUACUAAUUAUCACCACCUGAAGUUCAUAUUUUAUUUAGAUUUGCCAAUUUCCCUGUUCCAGAUUCCCAACCAGGACACCAGCUUACAUUUACUAGUGAUAUGUUUCAGCUCUUCUGGCUAUCACAGAUUUUUAGGCUUUCAUAUUUUUGAUGAUCUUAAUAAUGUUUAUACUGGUCAAGUUGGAUAAAGUUCCCCAUUUGAGAUUUCCUUGAUGUUUUCCUCAUAAUUUAGUUGGGCUUAUUGGUUCUGGAAAAGAUUAGAGGUAGGGUGCUGUUCUCACACUUGAUAUCAUACAUAUGUGCUCUAUAGAUGGUUUUUCCCUGUUAAUGUUAACGUUAACUAUGACCACUUGGAUAAGGUUGUUUGUCAGGUUUCUCCUCCCGGAAUUUGCAUUUUGCCCCAUCUAUGCUUGAUGUAGUC
rnacentral:lncRNA from 1 species